CGAGGUAGAGCAAAUCUCAAAAAAACAAUCUCAGUUCAGACUGCAGGCUGCAACUCGCCUGCACGAAGUCGGAAUUGCUAGUAAUCGUAGGUCAGCAUACUACGGUGAAUACGUUCCCGGGCCUUGUACACACCGCCCGUCAAACCAUGAGAGUUGGCAACACCCGAAGUCGGUAGUCUAACCGCAAGGAGGACGCCGCCGAAGGUGGGGUUGAUGAUUAGGGUUAAGUCGUAACAAGGUACC
rnacentral:rRNA from 1 species